rnacentral:rRNA from 1 species
AGCGAACGCUGGCGGCAGGCCUAAUACAUGCAAGUCGAGCACACCUUCGGGUGAGCGGCGGACGGGUGAGUAACGCGUGGGAACGUGCCCUUUGGUACGGGAUAACUGAGGGAAACUUCAGCUAAUACCGCAUGUGCCCUACGGGGGAAAGAUUUAUCGCCAUUGGAGCGGCCCGCGUUGGAUUAGCUAGUUGGUGGGGUAAAGGCUCACCAAGGCUACGAUCCAUAGCUGGUCUGAGAGAACGAUCAGCCACACUGGGACUGAGACACGGCCCAGACUCCUACGGGAGGCAGCAGUAGGGAAUCUUGCGCAAUGGGCGAAAGCCUGACGCAGCCAUGCCGCGUGAAUGAUGAAGGUCUUAGGAUUGUAAAAUUCUUUCACCGGGGAAGAUAAUGACGGUACCCGGAGAAGAAGCCCCGGCUAACUUCGUGCCAGCCGCCGCGGUAAAAC